UACGUAGGCAGCAAGCGUUGUUCGGAGUUACUGGGCGUAAAGGGUGUGUAGGCGGUUCUUUAAGUUUGGUGUGAAAUCUCCCGGCUCAACUGGGAGGGUGCGCCGAAUACUGAGGGACUAGAGUACGGGAGAGGAAAGUGGAAUUCCUGGUGUAGCGGUGAAAUGCGUAGAUAUCAGGAGGAACACCGGUGGUGUAGACGGCUUUCUGGACCGGUAUUGACGCUGAGGCGCGAAAGCCAGGGGAGCAAACGGG
rnacentral:rRNA from 1 species